ensembl:lncRNA
AUGCAGUCAAGACAGUCCCUUCCUUCAAGCAGUAGACAAAACUAUGACUCAAGACACAAGAUUCAGUCUUUCAACAAGUUGAAAUGCUCCUUAUUGAGACUGGCUGUACAGCAGAGCAGCUGCAGUAGAAGUACAUUUGUCCUCUUGGAUAGAGUGUAUUGUGGAUUCACUGUAUACCAACAUUUUCUAAGAACUACUUAUUUUGAAACUCACCUUCAGAGUAAAAAAAGUAAAUAA